rnacentral:piRNA from 1 species
UCUUUGGAGAGAAGGAGGUGGGGAUCCGAGU